rnacentral:lncRNA from 1 species
AGAAGAAACUACGAGAGAAGAGGGGGUGAUUCAAAUUGAUGAUCAAUUUGCAAGAUGAGAAGCGCCUAAAAAGCAACAGAGAAUGGCGAUUAGUAAUACUUUGGUUACAGCUCAUCCUCAGGUUUGCUUGUUUCUUUGAUCUCAUCAGCGCCAUCUUCCUGUAAUCAGAAUACAAAAAGCAAUUAAUUUCUCUAUAUUUCCGACAGUAUAGUAACCAAUUCAUGAGAUGAACAAUUGGUUCUUUAUUUUUUUCGACUAGGAUUUGUAAGAAUAUAUAUAUAUAUAUAUAUAUAUAUAUAUAUAUAUAUAUAUAUAUAUAUAUAUAUAUAGAGUUGAGCUGGAAUGCUAUCGGUAGCAAACCGGUUCUGUUGUCACUCAUUUAUUUUCGAUUAUGGAACCUUUAAAUUGACGAUCGGCACCGUUGAACAUGAUCUAUACCACUUGAAGUAUCUAGAAACCAAAUUUUAAAUCUUUUCGACAUCAUUGACCUAAUGAUCAAAGGGUUUCAAAAUUUGUAAUUUUAAUGGUAGAUAUAAAGCGUUUUCUCGUUUAACGGUGUAAAGCUAUCCAAAUCAAUUGAAUUUUAGUUGGAAAAUUCUUUAAACUAUUUAGAAUAAGAUCUAUACUCUCGAUCUUGAUUACAAAAUUUCUAUCAUCACUUUUUAGAGAAUAUUCAUUUUCAGUCGUUCAUUUUUACGCCCACUUGAUCGACAAGAGAACAAUAUCGAAAAAGCAUGAAAUUUGAUUUCUAGAUACUUUAAGUGGUGUAGAUCAUAUUCAACGGUGCCAAUCAUCAAUUUGGAGGCUCCAUCAUCGAAAACAAAUAAAUGGCAACGGAGCCCGUUUGCUACCGAUAGUAUUCUAGCUCAACUAUAUAUAUAUAUACUUACAAAUCCUAGUCAAAAAAAAUAAAGAACCAAUUGUUCAUCUCAUGAAUUGGUUUUGUAAGAAACUGAAAUUACAUUGCAUCUCAUAGGGCUACACAUGUGAGCAGUUACUUUUUCAAGCAGUAUAUAUACAUACAUAUAUAAUAAAAAUGAUAAUGUGUCAUUAGAUGCAACUUCAAACUUCAGGGAAACAAGAGCAUACAUGUAAAUGAUCCAAUUAAAAGGAGAAAGAAAAAGCGUUAGUUGAGAGAGCUACAUCAGGGCAAAAACCAGACCUGCAUGUCUGAGGUCCACAGGGUGAGAUUGUCG